AAAAACUUAGGUUAAUUAAACCAAGGACCUUCAAAGCCCUAAACAAGGAUUUUACUUCCUUAGUUUUUG
rnacentral:tRNA from 1 species